ensembl:lncRNA
ACGUCCUCAAUGAGAAAUAAAGACUUUCAUUGCGGUGGGAGAUCAAACGAUUAUUAUCCGGAUUGGCGAUGCGUAAAAAUGCCGGUGGAGAAACUCAUCGCUGCUGUAAUAUUGUGGUGAAUCAGGCAAUAAUCGAUAAAUAAAAAAGAAGAUCUGAUCAGUGCUCACCUUGACGACGAUGAAUCUUUGAAGCAGUCGAAGCUGAGAGCUGCUAGAAUCCUCCAGAGCAGGUCCAUGCCGGUUCCUCUCAUGGUAAAACCUUCAUUUCAUCGACCUGCUUUCCUGGCGCGCGUCAUGUUUCAGAAAGCGCGACACCGCCGAGUCUUUAAAUUGAGGACAAAACAAAAAUCCUGCGCCUCCUCCCCUCUUCCUCUCUCCUCACCCUCUCUCCCCCUGCUCUCCCACGCCACGUUGUUACACGGACGCUUGGAGAGGAUGUGGCUUCGUGAUCGCCAUCAUCAUCAUCAUCAUCAUCCGCUGGCAUCUGAAGGGACGUAAACAAAGAUUCAUGAAUGUGCGCGCUUUGGAGCCGCUUUCGAUGGUUUCUCCUCUUCCUCCUCCUCCUCCUCCUCAGCAGCAGCAGCAGCGGCAGAAAGAGGACGCAGAGAGGCGCAGCUGAGGUGUUUCAUUUGCAUCAAUCAGAGGGAAACGCACACACGCCUGAGCGGACCUCACCAAUGAGCUGGAAGUGGAGCAGGACACCGAAACGGCCUCAAAAUGCCUCUAAUACUAAUGAGCUGCAGAAAUCGCGUCCCACUGAGCCACUGCAGCGUUUUAAUGGCACAGAUUAUCGUGUAAAAUCCGCAAACAGCCACUUUCAUUGACUAAAACUCCUCUGACCCAGUGGGGCAUGGACUCAGGACCUCUGGGGAUGUCCUGUGGUACUGGAAUGGUAGCAGUGAAUUCUGUGGAUCGUGUGGGUUGCAGGGUGGAACCUACCUAGAUCAAGUUUAUCCUGGAACAUCCCACAGAUGCUCAAUAAGGUUUGGAUCUGGAGAAUGUGGAACCUGGGUGAACAGCUUAGCUCUGUUGUGUUCCCCGGGCCACUCCUGAGCAGUUUUUGUGGUGUGUUGGGGUGCAUUGUCCUGCUGAGGGUGGCAACUGGCAUCAAGGACUGCUGGUAAGGUACAUGUCAAACGUCCACAUGAACGUCAGGAUGUCCCAGCAGAACGUUGCAUUACAACAAAAUGAUCGAUGUUAUUCACUUCACCUGUCAGUGGUCAUAAUGUUGUGACUGAUCGGUGUGUAUAUAUAUCUGGAUUAAAGUUUAACCAGAGAUCCCUGUAGAGAACCUUCUCUAGAGUGCAGAGACCCGAGUCUGGGAUGAUGCUCCACCUUCCAGCACCACAAUGACUCAAAAUACACAGCCAAGACAUCACCGGA